rnacentral:rRNA from 1 species
GUAGGGAAUAUUGGGCAAUGGUCGGAAGACUGACCCAGCCAUGCCGCGUGCAGGAAGACGGCCCUCUGGGUUGUAAACUGCUUUUAUCUGGGAAGAAAAAGGCCAUGCGUGGCAAAUUGUCGGUACCAGAUGAAUAAGCACCGGCUAACUCCGUGCCAGCAGCCGCGGUAAUACGGAGGGUGCGAGCGUUGUCCGGAUUUAUUGGGUUUAAAGGGUGCGUAGGCGGCUGAUUAAGUCAGCGGUGAAAGACUUCGGCUUAACCGGAGCAGUGCCGUUGAUACUGGUUGGCUUGAGUGUCGGAGGGGUACAUGGAAUUGAUGGUGUAGCGGUGAAAUGCAUAGAUACCAUCAGGAACACCGAUAGCGAAGGCAUUGUACUGGCCGACAACUGACGCUGAUGCACGAAAGUGUGGGGAUCGAACAGGAUUAGAUACCCCUGUAGUCC